rnacentral:misc_RNA from 1 species
AACUUUUAGCAACGGAUCACUUGGCUCUCGCAUCGAUGAAGAACGCAGCGAAUUGCGAUAAGUAAUGUGAAUUGCAGAUUUCAGUGAAUCAUCGAAUCUUUGAACGCACCUUGCGCUCCCUGGUAUUCCGGUGAGCACGCCUGUUCGAGUGUCGCGAAAUUUCUCAAGCUUGGAUGGCUUUUUUGUCUGUCCUUAGCCUUGGUUGUUGGGCUUUGCCGUGUCCUUUGUUGGGACGGCUGGCCUUAAAAGCAUUAGCUGAUCCUCGAGUGGCACUGGUUCUACUCAGCGUGAUAAAAUUCUGAUCUCUGAUGACAUCUUUCGGCAUGGCCAGUCCCAAUUUGGAUUGCUUCUAAACCCUCGGUUUUUCAGAUUGUUUGAUCUGUAUUCCAAUUUUCAGCUUUGACCUCGAAUCAGGUGGGACUCCCCGCUGAACUUAAGCAUAUCAAUAAGCGGAGGCU